AUUGAACGCUGGCGGCAGGCUUAACACAUGCAAGUCGCGCGAGCGGCGGACGGGUGAGUAAUGUCUGGGAAACUGCCUGAUGGAGGGGGAUAACUACUGGAAACGGUAUCUAAUACCGCAUACCAUGAGAUGUGCCCAUAUGGGAUUAGCUAGUAUGGGGGGUAAUGGCUCACCUAGGCGACGAUCCCUAGCUGGUCUGAGAGGAUGACCAGCCACACGGGAACUUAGACACGGUCCAGACUCCGACGGUAGGCAGCAGUGGGGAGUAUUGCACAAUGGGCGCAAGCCUGAUGCAGCCAUGCCGCGGGUGUGAAGAAGGCCUUCGGGUUGUAAAGCAAUUUCAGCGAGGAGGCGUUACUCGCAGAAGAAGCACCGGCUAACUCCGUGCCAGCAGCCGCGGUAAUAC
rnacentral:rRNA from 1 species